rnacentral:misc_RNA from 1 species
AGCUCAGUUGCAGAAUUCACAAAUUACAAAAAUUUAAAUAAUUCAAAACAUAUAAAACUUAGAAUCAAGUAAAAUCAUGUUAAAAUUGUGCUUAACAAUAAAAUCAAUAUGAUUUUAUGAUAUUGCGUUGCGUGGUACUAAAUUAUCUGUAGCAUACCUCCACAAUUUUACAAAAUUAUAAAUAACUAUUUUGUGAUUUUAACCCCUUCUAAUGUUUGAAAUUUCCUCAAUAACCUUUUCAAGGCAAUAAGCCAUUGAUGCUUGUUCAAAU